rnacentral:lncRNA from 1 species
AGUUAAAAAAAUUUAUCCCAAACAGGGUCUAAAUCGAACAAAAAUACUUUAUUACUCUACCCAAUCAGAUAAAAUCAAUUAAUAUUGUAGGGAAUUUCAACUAUUGCUAGCCUAUAGCUAGCAAAUUGCUAGUACGAAGAGAGAUGGGAUGUUACCCCUCACACGGUCCUUGAUCUAUCGGUUCUUGAUCUCACACGCUACACCUCUCUCACGCACGGUACACUUCUCUCUCUGUCCAUUCUCUCUAACUCUCACACGAAUCAAGAAGAGAGAUGGGAUGUUCUCUGCACAAAAAUCAUUUACGAUAAAAAUUAUUAAAUUUUAAAUAAAAACACAAUUAUCAUUGCAAUGAGAGGGGACAUUUUAUUAAAGGCAAACGUAAAGGGCGGUUAUUGUAAUUUACCCAAUAAUCAAUCCCAAUAAAAAAGCUAACAUUUGCUUAUCUAAGCAAACAAGUCAUCAGGUCCCUAUCCCUCUUAAAUAAGGCCACAAAAUUGGUGACCUCAACUGCUAAAUUGUGCACAGCCACACAUGGGAAUGGACCCCUAUGAACUAUUCUCUUCCAUUUUGAUUUGCAAAAUCUAAAGAGCCUUUACCUUCACACCCUCACCCUCACCUCACAGAUCUACCUCUCGUGUCAUGUUUCCAAACCUAGGAAUCAUAGAGCUGUAAACCGAUCAUGUCUCCAAACCUAGAAAUCACAUAUCUACCUCUCCACUCCGAACUCCAUCCAACACCGUCAUGGCCAAAACCCCUAGCAACUCCGCUCAAAAUUGGAGUCGAUAGUUGCACCCGUGGACGACUAGCAAUGAUUGGCCAAAAGUGGUUUUGGAGUAGGGGAAAGUGAUUUUCCAGCCUAUGGACGGUACUGAUGGCAUUUUUCUGGCGGGGAAUAAGGUAGAUGAUUGGUGGCUCCAGAGAGAAGAAGGAGAUGAGUCUUCAAAGUAACCCGACAUCCAAAAUCCAAAUUUGAAGCGAACGAACUGAACAAAUUUCGAGUUUUCGAUGGCCAGAUCUGAGCUUUGGCAGUUCAAAAUUUGAGAUCCACAAGUCUAUGAGUUGUAAACUAUUGAGUUUUUGUUUGAUUCUCCAUUAUAACGGAGUGUAACGCCCUUACAGCGUAUAAAAUGGCGCCCGAUGUUACUAUUACGUAAUGGCCGUUACAGCCCAAUUUUUAGUUCUAUCUUGUGAAACCCUAGAAAUCGAGCCCCUAAUUGUUUUUGGGGUUUGAAUUCGGGGCGGGGAUCCCCGAUACCUAUUAGGGGCGGGGAUGGGGGUAUAACAAAAUUUUCGUCGGAGAUCGGGGUUUAAAAAAUUUUUGGGAAUCAGGACGGGAUACCAACCUCUGUCCCACAAGAAAGUUGGAAAGGAAAUUCGCAAUUGUAUCAACAACAUCCAAGAAAGAAACAUGGCAUUAGAAUGAAAAUUUUGUCAAAUGCCAAAAAUAAAAUGUACGAGCUCAAACAAGCUAUACAAAACAGCAAAAAUUUGUUCAAGAGACCAGAAUAUUACAAAUUAAGAGCAAAAAGAUGGUCUAAAGUUCGGACAAAAAUUGGGAUAAAUUUUCUAAUGAACUACUCCUCGAGGAAAUUCUCCCCCUCAUCUUCAACGCCUUCAACCCCCUCAGCCAUAAUGCCUUCGACUCCAGCAAGCUCGUUUCCCUGGGCCACGAUAGUAUUGCCUUCCUCCCCUUCAGCUAGUUAAGUGGCAUAUUCUUCUUUAUUGAAAUUGGGAGGAGGAUCGGAGGAUAAGCCGUCAGAGGAUCAGGAAGCUCGAUUGAUGGAGCUAGAGCAACCCAAGCAAGAUGAUCAAGAGGAGUUUUGAGCUCCUUCAGGCAGGAGAGCCAGCCUUCUUGGAAAAUACCAAGUCGAAGUUCGGCGAGCUACUUCUCAUAAGUAUCACUAGCUCGCUCGAAGCCCAGAUCAAAGACCUUCCGAUACACUUCACCACAGGCCACUUUUUGGAGAUCGGCCACUUCCUACUGAGCCUGAUUCCUUUGCCCAGUAGCGAUCUUAGCCGCGAGGCGAGCGUUAGACAAUUCAGCCUGAGCUUGCUUCAAUUCAUUCUCUAGGCCGUGGAUCUUUUGAUUGGCCUUCUUCAUAUCCAUGACAUGCUUCUUUAGAUGGGCAGAAAGGGCCAUAGCUCGCUGAAAAAGCUGCAAAAUGAAUGAACAUGACAAAAUCACUAAGUGUUGAGAAAAAAACAGAAAAACAAGAGAAAGAAUGAGCUGGAAGAAAGACUGAGCUCCCAUCAUAAUCAACUUGCCCCCGAACCCUUCUAAGUCUUCAGCAGCAAGGUCCAUCACAUCCUGCGAGAGCAUAAUGGCUUUCCCCAAGGCCACACAAGUCUCAUGGUCCUUGGAGGUGUUACCAAAUGUAACCUAUUUCUUGAGUUCAAAUCGUCAGCAACAUCCAAAUCUAAACUUGGCACGAAUAUGGGCUUUGCGACUAGAACCAAGGUCGGAAGAGCUAUGGCGGGAAUAGGGCAGAAUCUUCAACCU